rnacentral:rRNA from 1 species
AAUCAACGCUGGCGGCGUGCCUCAGACAUGCAAGUCGAACGCGAAAGGUUCCUUCGGGGACCGAGUAGAGUGGCGCACGGGUGAGUAACACGUAGGUAAUUUGCCUUUGGGUGGGGAAUAACUCAGGGAAACUUGAGCUAAUACCGCAUAAUGCAGCGGCUCGACAUCGAGACAGUUGUUAAAGCGGGGGAGUUCGCAAGAACCUCGCGCCUAAAGAGAAGCCUGCGGCAGAUUAGCUAGUUGGUAAGGUAAUGGCUUACCAAGGCGACGAUCUGUAACCGGCCUGAGAGGGCGGUCGGUCACACUGACACUGACAUACGGGUCAGACUCCUACGGGAGGCAGCAGUCGGG